GCUCCUUUUCCUUGAACACACAGCCUCACUCAACCCACUUCAACCCUAGAAAAGCCACCAUUGAUUUGAACCACCACACCUCCACUGCUUCAAUCAAACCCAUUCUCACAUAGCAAAAAUCUCUUUGGCAUCGCACCUCCAUCGUCAUCGUUGCACAGCCAUCAUCAUCAUCGCACGGCCAAAGUCAUCGUCGCACAGCCAUCGUCAUCCCCGCACAACCAACGUCAUCGUCGCACACAAGCGUCAUCAUCGCACACCAGCGUCAUCGUCGCACAAUUGAUUGAUGUUCGAGAAGCCCAAGAAGUAUUUCUCGCUGCUUGCCAAAUAUCUGAUUCUCCAGCUUCAACCUCCAUUGAUUCAAACGUACUCGUGUCAGUGCCAACGAUGGAUGAAGUUAACUCAGUACCAACAAUGGAUGAAGCUAACUCAGUGCCAACGAUGAUGGAGGUAAACCAGGGGGUGGAAGAAGGUUUUGCUUCUAAUCAGCUUCCACCUAUGACUGAAUCUACACCAGUGAUUGUGAACUCUCAAGCUUAGACUGGUGCAUCUGAUCAACUUCCACCGUUACCUUCCCAAAAAAAGAGAAAACCGACUAGGAAACCAAGUGAGGUGUGGAAUCACUUUGAACAAUAUCAAACUGGAAAAAGGCUAUGAAGGAAAAGUGAAGAAAGAGACAAGAAGAUAAAGAGGCAGUGCUUUUAUCUCAUGAGAUAGAUAGGUAUUUGUCGGAUGCAGCAGAAGAAGAUAUUGAACAAUUUGAUAUUUUAAAUUGGUGAAGGGUGAAUGCUUCUAAAUAUCCAGUUUUAGCGGUCAUUGCAAGAGAUGUGCUUGCAAUUCCAGUCUCUACAGUUGCUUCAGAAUCUACUUUUAGCACGGGAGGGAGAACAAUUAACUCAUUUCGUAGUUCCUGGAGUCCUACUAUGGUUGAGGCCUUAAUUUGUACACAAAAUUGGUUGAAGUCCACUUCAAUAUCUUUAAAAGUUUAGCCCACUAUUGAGGAGAUGGAGUUUUAUGAAACAAUUGAGUCAGAAAUGCGGAGAUCAAAUGCUAAUGCGCCUGUGCACAUUUUCACUGAUUGAUUCUCUAUUGAUGCACAACCUUGCAAAUAUGUAUGGGGACAUGCUGGAAACUGGGCAGCCUUCAAUGAAAUGGAAAUUAUGAACUUGUUUUUUGGAUAGCCUUUCAUUUCUUAGUUUUAUCAUCUUGUAUUCAUUUCUUAUGAACUUUAGAAUGUUUGUUUUGAUGGAAAUUGUGAACUUAUAUGCAUGCUGGAAAUUGGACAACUUUUGAUUAAAUGGAAAUUAUGAACUUGUAUUUU